AGAGUUUGAUCCUGGCUCAGGACGAACGCUGGCGGCGUGCUUAACACAUGCAAGUCGAACGGUGAAGGAGGAGCUUGCUCUUCUGGAUCAGUGGCGAACGGGUGAGUAACACGUGAGUAACCUGCCCUUGACUCUGGGAUAAGCGUUGGAAACGACGCCUAAUACCGGAUACGAACCGCGACGGCAUCGUCUGUGGUUGGAAAGAAUUUUGGUCAAGGAUGGACUCGCGGCCUAUCAGCUAGUUGGUGAGGUAAUGGCUCACCAAGGCGACGACGGGUAGCCGGCCUGAGAGGGUGACCGGCCACACUGGGACUGAGACACGGCCCAGACUCCUACGGGAGGCAGCAGUGGGGAAUAUUGCACAAUGGGCGCAAGCCUGAUGCAGCAACGCCGCGUGAGGGAUGACGGCCUUCGGGUUGUAAACCUCUUUUAGUAGGGAAGAAGCGAAAGUGACGGUACCUGCAGAAAAAGCACCGGCUAACUACGUGCCAGCAGCCGCGGUAAUACGUAGGGUGCAAGCGUUGUCCGGAAUUAUUGGGCGUAAAGAGCUCGUAGGCGGUUUGUCGCGUCUGCUGUGAAAACUGGAGGCUCAACCUCCAGCCUGCAGUGGGUACGGGCAGACUAGAGUGCGGUAGGGGAGAUUGGAAUUCCUGGUGUAGCGGUGGAAUGCGCAGAUAUCAGGAGGAACACCGAUGGCGAAGGCAGAUCUCUGGGCCGUAACUGACGCUGAGGAGCGAAAGCGUGGGGAGCGAACAGGAUUAGAUACCCUGGUAGUCCACGCCGUAAACGUUGGGAACUAGAUGUGGGGACCAUUCCACGGUCUCCGUGUCGCAGCUAACGCAUUAAGUUCCCCGCCUGGGGAGUACGGCCGCAAGGCUAAAACUCAAAGGAAUUGACGGGGGCCCGCACAAGCGGCGGAGCAUGCGGAUUAAUUCGAUGCAACGCGAAGAACCUUACCAAGGCUUGGCAUAUACGAGAACGGGCCAGAAAUGGUCAACUCUUUGGACACUCGUAAACAGGUGGUGCAUGGUUGUCGUCAGCUCGUGUCGUGAGAUGUUGGGUUAAGUCCCGCAACGAGCGCAACCCUCGUUCUAUGUUGCCAGCACGUUAUGGUGGGAACUCAUAGGAGACUGCCGGGGUCAACUCGGAGGAAGGUGGGGAUGACGUCAAAUCAUCAUGCCCCUUAUGUCUUGGGCUUCACGCAUGCUACAAUGGCCGGUACAAAGGGCUGCAAUACCGUAAGGUGGAGCGAAUCCCAAAAAGCCGGUCUCAGUUCGGAUUGAGGUCUGCAACUCGACCUCAUGAAGUCGGAGUCGCUAGUAAUCGUGGAUCAGCAACGCCACGGUGAAUACGUUCCCGGGCCUUGUACACACCGCCCGUCAAGUCAUGAAAGUCGGUAACACCCGAAGCCGGUGGCCCAACCCUUGUGGAGGGAGCCGUCGAAGGUGGGAUCGGUGAUUAGGACUAAGUCGUAACAAGGUAACC
rnacentral:rRNA from 1 species